rnacentral:rRNA from 1 species
GUGGGGAAUUUUGCGCAAUGGGGGAAACCCUGACGCAGCAACGCCGCGUGGAGGAUGAAAUCCCUUGGGAUGUAAACUCCUUUCGACUGGGAAGAUAAUGACGGUACCAGGAGAAGAAGCCCCGGCUAACUUCGUGCCAGCAGCCGCGGUAAUACGAGGGGGGCAAGCGUUGUUCGGAAUUAUUGGGCGUAAAGGGCGCGUAGGCGGUUUGACAAGUCUUGUGUGAAAUCUCUGGGCUCAACCCAGAGUCUGCACGGGAAACUGUCGGGCUAGAGGAUGGGAGAGGUGAGUGGAAUUUCCGGUGUAGCGGUGAAAUGCGUAGAUAUCGGAAGGAACACCUGUGGCGAAAGCGGCUCACUGGACCAUAUCUGACGCUGAGGCGCGAAAGCUAGGGGAGCAAACAGG